AUGAACGCUGGCGGCGUGCCUCAUACAUGCAAGUCGAGCGCACGGACGAGAAGCUUGCUUCUCUGAUGUUAGCGGCGGACGGGUGAGUAACACGUGGAUAACCUACCUAUAAGGCUGGGAUAACUUCGGGAAACCGGAGCUAAUACCGGAUAAUAUUUUGAACCGCAUGGUUCAAAAGUGAAAGACGGUCUUGCUGUCACUUAUAGAUGGAUCCGCGCUGCAUUAGCUAGUUGGUAAGGUAACGGCUUACCAAGGCAACGAUGCAUAGCCGACCUGAGAGGGUGAUCGGCCACACUGGAACUGAGACACGGUCCAGACUCCUACGGGAGGCAGCAGUAGGGAAUCUUCCGCAAUGGGCGAAAGCCUGACGGAGCAACGCCGCGUGAGUGAUGAAGGUCUUCGGAUCGUAAAACUCUGUUAUUAGGGAAGAACAUAUGUGUAAGUAACUGUGCACAUCUUGACGGUACCUAAUCAGAAAGCCACGGCUAACUACGUG
rnacentral:rRNA from 1 species